rnacentral:tRNA from 1 species
GGAGGAGCCGGCCUGGUUUCGGAGACGCCGCUGGAAACGGCGUGGGCCCCGCGAGGGGCCCCGUGGGUUCGAAUCCCACCUCCUCCGC